rnacentral:lncRNA from 1 species
AUCACACGAUGAAGGAGCUGAUUAGACAGCCUGAUGGCCUCCUUUAAAGAACCAGACCUCCCAUCUGUGGAUGACCAGGGGCCUCCAGCCCAGGAGGACUCAGCCGGGGAGCAGUCUCACCACAGGACACCAGGGAGGAGGCAUGUGGAUGUCCUCCUGGACAUUAGUGAGGAGGACUCCUUGAAAGAACUGGAGCCACAUGAGUAUCACUGUUACUCUGGAUGGGAGGAAGCUGUCCGGGGUUGGGCCCGAGUUGCUCCGCUGAGCUGCAUACUGUUGCCUCAUAAGAGAUACAGGAAACCGAAGCAUAAGGAGGUUGACAAUCCAACAUCUGUGUCUGUCCACCCAACACUACCUGGUGCAGAGAGCUCGGCCAACAUUGCAGAGCAUCAUUGUGAGUCUCACACAGGCCCUUCUAAUAGCUUCAAGAAAAACAGCUCGUUAAACCAACAGAUGGGAUGUUGGAGUAACACUGCUGUGGCGGCUCUGCAGGCGGAUGCAUCAGAAUGGACUGUCCUCAAUGCUGUGCAGAAAACUGCAUCACAUCUCCUACUUGAAGAAAGGUUAAAGGAGGAAAAUACUCAUUUGCAGCCUCACUAUCUGUCCUCAAAAUACUCGGUGUCAGAGAACAGGCCGGCUAAGCCUCAGAAACACAACCACAGGCCCAACAGUACAGUGGUUCCCAUUAAAAACUUCACAUUUUUACCACCAAUCAAAUCCCCACACCUGAAUCCAAAGUUGGGUGGCCAGCUCUGCAAUGACAAGAAGGCAACAGAGGAUGAAGCCUUACUUGAAAAUGGCUUAAUGUGUGACAAGAAGAACGAGAUGAGAGGACCAAGAGUGGACCCUGUUGCUAACACAGAGUUUUCCACUUACUCUGCAGCCCUGACUUCCAAGUACCAGACAUGUCAGCAUAACCUCAACUUGUUCUCCGCUGUAAACGUUUCUGUCCCUAAAAGGUUUCAGGUGCCCAUGUCUUCCAAACGUGACACUGUGCACUGCACUAGUUACUCAAUGGGCAAGAGCAUCACACCGGCCCUCCACUCCACCACUGCAGUAGGUGCACAAGGCCAUAUGCAUCCCAGUUACCUGUUUUCUUAA